GAUGAACGCUGGCGGCGUGCCUAACACAUGCAAGUCUACUUGAUUCUACUUCGGUAGUUGAUGGUGGCGGACGGGUGAGUAACGCGUAAAGAAUCUGCCCUUUAGUUUGGGAUAACCUUUGGAAACGAAGGCUAAUACCGGAUAUUAUGGAGACGUCGCAUGGCGACUCCAUGAAAGCUAUAUGCGCUAGAGGAGGACUUUGCGUCCCAUUAGCUAGUUGGUGAGGUAAUGGCUCACCAAGACCGCGAUGGGUAGCCGGCCUGAGAGGGUGAUCGGCCACAAGGGAACUGAGACACGGUCCUUACUCCUACGGGAGGCAGCAGUGGGGAAUAUUGGACAAUGGGCCACAAGCCUGAUCCAGCAAUUCUGUGUGCACGAUGAAGGUCUUCGGAUUGUAAAGUGCUUUCAGUAGGGAAGAAAAAAAUGACGGUACCUACAGAAGAAGCGACGGCUAAAUAUGUGCCAGCCGCCGCAGUAA
rnacentral:rRNA from 1 species